CAGCGUGGUAAGCAGCAUCACAGGCUGGAAGUGUUUGGUUUGAUGAAAUCAGGAAGUUGACGUUUUUCCUUUGCAAUCCGUGCUUGUGAGUGUUCCUUCGGCUAUUUUGUCUUCGGUUAAACUUUCACUUUGGAUGUACCGAAGUUUAGCCUGUUCAAUGCUUUAGAAUCGCAAAAUCAGUACCAUUCGACAGUGCUUGAACACUGCGGACAAUGCGCCCAUCUCUGACCAGGGUCUUCCACCACACCAGUGACUCAGACUGGGACCAGUCCCACUGACCACCACCACCCUGUGCUGGUGCUAGUUCAGUCCUGCCCUGCUGUGGAGGAGGAGGCAUGUCCUACUGGUCAGUCGGCCUCUCCAAGGCCACUGGAGACACACAGAGCAACAACAUGGAGGAACAAGAAAAACACGAUCUUGAACAAGAUGGUUCUUUGGCAGUGGAGGACAUGGGAGCCAAGGCGUCUGCGAUGGGCAGUGGUGGAGCCUCCCUCUGGGUCCGUCUCCAACCCUGGAGAACAUCCA